rnacentral:lncRNA from 1 species
UUCUUUAAAUCAAAAAUUUAUAGCAUUAACAUUUGAAUUAUAAAUUAUUAUUGAAAUAAACAUAAAGAUGACUGUUAGACAAAAGUCUUUAUAGAUUGAAUAUACAUUAUAAUUUUAUUUUUUUAUAUUGUAAUAUGAAGUACUUGUUUGUAUUUUUUAUUUAGUUUAAAAUAAAAUUUUUUUUUAUUAUAUACAGGUAAUCCUUAACCUAUGAUGGGAUUUUGUUUGAACUAUCAUAAGUGGAUUGGUCUUAUAUCACUCCACUUAUAAUGAUGGGAGUAGGAAAUGUCCAAUAUUUAUGGAUGGCCCAUGAUCAGUACUUAUUAUUACAUUUUUCUUUAUCAUAAUAAGCUUAACAAAUGUAAAAAUACAAAAACCAGAUACAAAGAAUACUUUUUAUAUCAGACCAUUAUCAGGGACUUAAAUUCACUCUCAGUUGUAUUGAUCAGUCCAGAAUUUAUCAAUGACAUCAACAUCAUAAAUAUAAAUGGUUGUAAAUUGAGAGUUGUAAGUUGAAAACUACCUGUUUAUUGUUAUGUAAGAAAAGAAGUUAAACAAAAGUUAAGAUUAAUUAUUUUCAUAAAUAUAACACUAGAAUAUAAAAUCAAUAUGAUUAAAGAAAAAAAGAAUAAAUUUUUGAAAUUUAAUUGUUACUAUAGUAAAAUGUUUAAGUAAAUAUAAUUCAAAUUGUGAUAUUACUUAAC